UUCUUAAAACACUGAAUUAGGGCGUCAUAGUCUGCACUUUACCCUGUGUAUUACUCGCCAUUGAUGUGAGUCCCCUGUGUAACUUUGCUGCAUUGUAAAUAGUUUAAUAUCUAAAACUGAACUCGAUACGAAGACUGCAAUGCGGUGGCAUUAAAUAAAUGCGUGCUUUAUAGUUAUUCCAUAGUGCCGGUUAAAAUGAAAGUCAGAACAGUAGUCAACAGUCUACAGCCGCAACAAUCACUUGCCAGUUGGAAUGUUUCAAUGAAACUUAAGGUCCAGCCUGGUAACAAAUGUAGUGUCUAAACAUUGUCGGUUUCAACGAAAAGAUGCGCAGUUAGAAAGAAUUAAGUUGAGUUAGCUUGAAUUUAACCAAGUACCAUAAUAUGUCUUUACAGAUUUCUUACACUGUGUUUAGACUGAAAUGGGACCAUGUCAGAUUCUGAACACUGGGCACACAGUGAGCGCUUUUGUUCUUAAAUUACAUAUGUGAAGUGAUUCGAAUACCUCCAUUAAUUUGUAAUGAAAUAAGUAGUAGUAGUAGUCAGUUACUGAGAUUUUGUUUCUCCUCCUAAAUAGAAUUCUUUGUUUUUACAAAGAUAAAGAGCGGGCAGUACUAUUUAUAGCUGACUAAAUGUCUGGAUUAUUAUAUUUACUUGAUAUAUAUGUAUGUGCUUCACUGUUUCUUAAAUUAUUAAGGUGGAACCCACAGAUGAGGGAGGGUGAGAGAAAUUGUGUGCCACAGAUGUCUAUUCAACCUGUUGAUGGUGCUGAGGCUGUGUACCAUGCAUAACCCAACUGAUGCUCCCACACACAAAGAAUAGGAGCAGUUAAGGAUACCAAAAUGUCCUGAAGCUGGCCUAGUCCCUCUUUAGAAAUUACAAACCUGCAGAGGCUUCAGUACAAGAGUGUACACAAGCAGUUGCACUGUGUUCAGUCAUCCCUCAGAUUGCAUUGCUAUUAGAAAGGCAAUGCUGAGCAGCCUUGAGACAGAGACCUGUGUCCCAUUGUUUUCUCUCACAGGCAAGUGAAGAGUGCUCGAGUAGGGAAGUGGGCUGAUAUAAUUUUUGGCUUUGAGGAUCUGCUAACAGGGUCUGCCCCCUUUGCCACGUUUCCAGUGUCAUCAACCAACUGUUUUCUUCCUUGACCAGCUACACCACUGGGUAUUACAGUCCACCACUCCACUGCCGCACACCCAUCUCCUCUUCCAGGACUGUGUGUAUGCUCAGCACCACAACUUGUAGCAACAUGAAGACAACUGUAGCUGCUGCUGCUGCGGGGGCUUUCCAGGAACAAACUUGGUCAGCAGCCGACACUAUACAGCUGGAUUAAGCAUGGCCAGCCAAACACAAUCGAGAAUGGCUAUACAUGCAUAGCCAGUAAGCCAUCCUGUGAUGAUGUUAGUUAAACAAAGCCAAGGCAACCACAAGCAAAUUAAUGGACUGUAUUAUAUUAAGUGGUAUUUAAUUACAUUAUAGUGUAUGUCGUUUAAUUUUUUGUAUUGUGUUUUACUAGUCCUAUGUCUAAAGCAUUAUACACAUAUGUGCCUUUGCUACUCAAUAUUUAGGCAAUUAAUGAAGUCUACUUUGUGAUUUAUUAACUGGUUUUAUUAAUCCUGUGAACUGUUUUUAAAUAAAUCAUUUUUUUGGGCAAUGAAAAAAA